AAUGUCUUUUGAAGACGUUGGUUUAAAAAACCACAUCAGAUGACAUGAUGGCUCUAAAGUGUAGGUACAAGAGGCGG